GGGGAAAUGGCGGCUUCAGGAGAGAGCGGGACUUUGGGCGGCGGAGGCGGCACAGAGGAAGCAUUUAUGACCUCCUACAGGGAAACAAAUAGAGAAGGGAGACUUGGUUCUAACAUCCAAAAACCACAUUGAAAGACUGACCCGUCCUGGUUCCUCUUACUUCAAUUUGAACCCAUUUGAGUUUCUUCAGAUAGAUCCUGAAGUUACAGAUGAAGAAAUAAAAAAGAGGUUUCGGCAGUUAUCCAUCUUGGUGCAUCCUGACAAAAAUGAAGAUGAUGCUGACAGAGCACAAAAGGCUUUUGAAACUGUGGACAAAGCUUACAAGUUGCUACUGAUCAGGAGCAAAAGAAGAGGGUCCUGGAUGUAAUUUAGGCAGGAAAAGAAUACGUGGAACACACUGUGAAAGAGAGAAAAAAAAAAAACAAUCAAAGAAGGAAGGAAAACCUACGAUUGUAGAGGAGGAUGAUCCUGAGCUGUUCAAACAAGCUGUAUAUAAACAGAAAAUGAAACUCUUUGCUCAGCUGGAAAUUAAAAGGAAAGAGAGAGAAGCCAAAGAGAUGCAUGAAAGGAAACGGCAAAGGGAAGAAGAGAUUGAAGCUCAAGAAAAAGCCAAACGAGAAAGAGAGUGGCAGAAAAACUUUGAGGAAGGUCGAGAUGGUCGUGUGGACAGCUGGCGAAACUUCCAAGUCAAUACAAAGGGGAAGAAAGAGAAGAAAAAUCGGACCUUCCUGAGACCACCGAAAGUAAAAAUGGAGCAGCAUGAGUGACCACCCGGGGUCACAGGCACAGAACCUUCCCCCUGCUAUCUCCCUUCCUGCUUCGAAGGACUCAUUCUUUCCUCCCACUUCCACCUCAACAUAGAGUAGUAUUUGCUUUUUAGUCUGUUUCGUUUUGAAUACAAUUUAAUAUCGAUCAGAGUAAUUCUUUUGUACAAUGAAAUGAGGGGACUGGUUUAAAAAAAGACCUUCCUCCUCCCUGCCCCUAGAACAACCAGGAUUGGAAGGUGGCACCAUUGGUGCUGCCUUCUCUUCCCACAGCCUGUAACUCAGUGUUUUGUACUUCACUGAAUUGUGAUGGUUAGAAACUUCGUCCUAGUUUGUGGAAAUCAUCCAAUUAAACAUAUUACUUAAAAUGGUGUUGCUGUGACGUCAGAGACAGGCCUGGAAGGGGCACUUUGGAAGCCCCUUGGCUUCAGUUGCUCGCUUCUGGGUGUGCUCCCUUAGAAGGCCCAGAUAAGACAGGGAACACCUGUGGGCACACAGAACAGGCACCUGAUGCCCUGAUGCCCUGUGGUGUUUGGCAUGUGCCCCCUGUCUACUGACCAAUCAGCAUGGCAUGAGGCCCACGCCACCCAAACCUUUCACUUUCCAAAGAGCUAGCCGUCCUCCUCCCAGUACCAUGGUGUCCUAGCCUGUCUGCAUUUGUUAGUAGUAAUAUUCUUUAUGUAUAAUAAAUUUU
rnacentral:lncRNA from 1 species